rnacentral:rRNA from 1 species
CUACGGGUUGCUCCAGUGGGGAAUAUUGGACAAUGGGCGCAAGCCUGAUCCAGCAAUGCCGCGUAAGUGAAGACGGCCUUAGGGUUGUAAAACUCUUUCGCUAGGGAAGAUAAUGACUGUACCUAGUAAAGAAGUCCCGGCUAACUCCGUGCCAGCAGCCGCGGUAAUACGGAGGGGACUAGCGUUGUUCGGAAUUACUGGGCGUAAAGAGUUCGUAGGCGGACUGACAAGUUAGAGGUGAAAUCCCAGGGCUCAACCCUGGAACUGCCUUUAAAACUGUCAGUCUAGAGACCGGAAGAGGUUAGGGGAAUACCUAGUGUAGAGGUGAAAUUCGUAGAUAUUAGGUGGAACACCAGUGGCGAAGGCGCCUAACUGGUCCGGUACUGACGCUGAGGAACGAAAGCGUGGGGAGCAAACAGGAUUAGAUACCCGAGUAGUC